rnacentral:lncRNA from 1 species
AUGAGAAUUUCUUCUCUUUCCUGCGAGAGUGGUGGUUCAAUUUUACUGUUGGUUUUGGGAGCAAUUCAUGCUGAAGCUGUCCAGUGGGAGGAAGCAGGGAAACCACAACUCCGGACUGAAAUGAGGGCACCUGGGAUUUUAUUGCCACUCUGCCCCAUCAGUGCCCCUAUUCACGCGCCACUGAGGGCCUGCGGCUACAGAGGAGGAAGCACACUGGCUCUUUUGUGUUUGCAUCCAACUUGCAGGGACGAUGGCAUUUGUCAGAGCUCUUCCUCCAGUUUUCAUCCUUUGUCCGCUGACCACAGAGCCAUGCGUCAAGUAACGAGAGCCCCACGGACAACAAAUGAGAAAUACCAGAAAAGCGAUGCUUGCCAGCUGUGGGCACCUCAGGCCCAGGCGCCUUUUGAAGUCAAUGGGAGAACUUUGAUGACUCAAGAGGAAGAACAGUAA